UCUGGCUCAGGAUGAACGCUGGCGGCGUGCCUAACACAUGCAAGUCGAACGGACCUUUAGUGACAGAGACUUCGGUCGACGAAGUUUAAGGUAGUGGCGGACGGGUGAGUAACGCGUGGAGAACCUGCCCUGUACUGGGGGAUAACAGUGAGAAAUUACUGCUAAUACCGCAUAAGCGCACGGGACCGCAUGGUCCUGAGUGAAAAACUCCGGUGGUACAGGAUGGCUCCGCGUUGGAUUAGCCAGUUGGCGGGGUAACGGCCCACCAAAGCGACGAUCCAUAGCCGGCCUGAGAGGGUGAACGGCCACAUUGGGACUGAGACACGGCCCAGACUCCUACGGGAGGCAGCAGUGGGGAAUAUUGCACAAUGGGGGGAACCCUGAUGCAGCGACGCCGCGUGAAGGAAGAAGUAUCUCGGUAUGUAAACUUCUAUCAGCAGGGAAGAAAAUGACGGUACCUGACUAAGAAGCCCCGGCUAACUACGUGCCAGCCGCUGC
rnacentral:rRNA from 1 species